rnacentral:tRNA from 1 species
CUCUGAGAAGCUUCCUAAAGCAUUAGCCUUUUAAGCUGAAGAAGGGCCAAAACCCCUCAGUGC